rnacentral:rRNA from 1 species
GGGUGACCGGCCACACUGGGACUGAGACACGGCCCAGACUCCUACGGGAGGCAGCAGUCGAGAGGCUUCGGCAAUGGGGGAAACCCUGACCGAGCGACGCCGCGUGGACGAUGAAGUAUUUCGGUAUGUAAAGUCCUGUCAUAUGGGAUGAAAAAUUGAUUGGUUAAUAUCCUUUCGAUCUGACAGUACCAUAAGAGGAAGCUCCGGCUAACUCCGUGCCAGCAGCCGCGGUAAUACGGGGGGAGCGAGCGUUAUUCGGAUUCAUUGGGCGUAAAGGGUUCGUAGGCGGUCUGUUAAGUCAGAGGUGAAAUCUAACGGCUCAACCGUUAACCUGCCUUUGAAACUGGCAGACUUGAGUAUUGGAGAGGAAAGCGGAAUUCCUGGUGUAGCGGUGAAAUGCGUGGAUAUCAAGAGGAACACCCGUGGCGAAGGCGGCUUUCUGGCCAAAUACUGACGCUGAGGAACGAAAGCUAGGGGAGCAAACGGGAUUAGAUACCCCGGUAGUCCUAGCCGUAAACGAUGGGCACUAGGUGUAGGAGGUAUCGACCCCUCUUGUGCCGCAGUUAACGCAUUAAGUGCCCUGCCUGGGGAGUACGAUCGCAAGAUUGAAACUCAAAGGAAUUGACGGGGGCCCGCACAAGCGGUGGAGCAUGUGGUUUAAUUCGAUGAUACGCGAAGAACCUUACCGGGACUUGACAUGUAGUUGCCAGGCAUGGAAACAUGUCCUCUCCUUCGGGAGCGAUUACACAGGUGCUGCAUGGCUGUCGUCAGCUCGUGUCGUGAGAUGUUGGGUUAAGUCCCGCAACGAGCGCAACCCUUAUCCUUAGUUGCCAUCAGGUUAUGCUGGGAACUCUAAGGAGACUGCCGGUGAUAAACCGGAGGAAGGUGGGGAUGACGUCAAGUCCUCAUGGCCCUUACGUCCCGGGCUACACACGUGCUACAAUGGCAGAUACAGAGGGCAGCAAGACCGCGAGGUGGAGCGAAUCCCAGAAAAUCUGUCUCAGUACGGAUUGCAGUCUGCAACUCGACUGCAUGAAGGCGGAAUCGCUAGUAAGCGCGGAUCAGCAGGCCGCGCUGAAUACGUUCCCGGGCCUUGUACACACCGCCCGUCAAGCGAUGGAAGCUGGUGGUACCCGAAGUCGGUGACCUAACCCGUAAGGGAAGGAACCGCCUAAGGUAAAACUAGUGACUGGCGCUAAGUC